rnacentral:lncRNA from 1 species
CAUUCAGACCCCCUAUCCUUUGAGUGGUAAUUGAUGGACUGCUAAGCUCUCCGUUUUCUCUGUCUCAUUGCAGGCAACUGAGGCAAAAGCAAAACAAGAACCCCCCAAAGAGAAAGAAGAUAAAUUUCAGCCUUUCACCGGGAAGAAGUAUUCUUUAAGAGGUUGAUUAAUAUAUUAACUUAAAACACUUUUAAACUUUUAUUAUAAGUUACUUUGUUGGCCUGUGCAUGGAUCCAAGUCUAUUGCAAAACCUGUAUCUUUUUUGCUUUUUGUAUUAUAAGCAAAAGACAGACCAAACCAGUAGACGCCACAAAAAAUAACUAGAUGUUUACCUUAAAUUAUUAUUACUUGUCAAUGACUACAUAUUCUUCUCUGGCGCUAAAGGAGGUGACACUUUAUUUUAAUGGCCCAUAUGNNNNNNNNNNNNNNNNNNNNNNNNNNNNNNNNNAUAAUGGAAUAAAGAGAAGAGCAACUAGCCACUGUUAGAGGGACAAGCACCCCCACAUGAGCAAAUUAUAGGAUGGUCUAAAUUUUUAUGUUAUGUCGGUGUGUAUAAAGAAAGACUCAACUUUCUUCCAUGGUAACCAAGUUAAAAAUGGCGACACAUAAAUGUGGUGAAAACUAUAGUUUUAGACGUGUGUGAUGAAAAUUCGUAGCUUUUGUUUCCUUCAACAUCAAACCCGAAAAUUCUCCUGGU